rnacentral:lncRNA from 1 species
GAUACUAGUAGCGCUUCUAUGGUAACACACGCUACUAGUAUCUAGGAUACUAGUAGCGCAUGGUUUGUCCCACACACUACUACUAACUAAUUACGAAUUAAAAAAAUUAAAAUCCCCAAAUUCCAUUUUAUGCAUUACACAUCAUUACAAAUCCAAGAUUUAUAGUAAACCAGGAGCAUUAGAGCAUAUCCAGACACCUACAGUUCUUGCCAAGUCACUUAUUCCAGCUAGUGCAAACACAGUUACAAGCAAACUAAAAUGCAUAGAAAGACCAAACUGUGGCAUCCUAUCUCUCCAAAUGAUCUGCUCCCGCUGCAUCCUUGCAAGCGUCUUCACGAUAAGCAAAUCUGCAGGAAAAAAAGUCAACUUAGCAUCUAGAUUUUAUCCAUUGCCCUGGCCAUGUUCAAGAAGCAGUAAAUUUAGAACAUUUCUACUGUAAAUACAUGAGGCAUCGGGACAGAAAACAAAAGAUGAGAAAUAUCAUAUGAGCUGGAUAAAAAGGAGUUUGGACCAUAGCAUGGUUAACAAUAAAACUAGAAGCAACAUGCACGCUUUGCCGCAUUGACUCAUGAGUCCAGCAUAAAUUUUGCACGUUGCCCCAAGAUGUAUUGCAAAGAGCCUUCAUAUAAGAAAUUACAGUUUGGCUAAUUUGGAUAUAGGAACAAUGCAUACAUCCCCUUCUUGGUACAGUAAACACAUUGUUUCAUCUCAGACGACAACCAUUUAGUUUAGAUAAAAGGAUAACAUUCAAAAAAAGAAUUGACCCUUAAAACCUCUUAACAAAUAAAUACAUUGUCACUAUAGAGUAACUUGGAAAAUUUCAAAUUUUCAAACAUGUUAUCUAAAAUGGAUAUCUACGGCAAUGCUAUUCAGAUGAAAAAUAAAAAAGGAAAACCAAACAUUAAUCAACACACUAACUUAUUUUGCCAAGCCAUUGCAUUUAGCACCAAGUGCAAAUAGGAACUUGUGAUCAUUGGAGUCAUUGGUGUUGUUGUUUCACCUCCCUUUAAUGAAACAACGCAUGAUACUACCAAUUUCUUGUAAUCUUUACGAGCAAGCACGCUGAUGAUCAAAAUCAUUGUUGUUACGAACAGACAUGCAUAUGCUCAAAAUAAGAAGAGACCAUGAAACACUUGGAAAUCUUAGGCUGGCCUAUUGUGACAUAACAAAAAAAGAAGAGAGUUAACCUUCUUUCUCUUCCGAGGCACCGCACCUGCGUCCGCGUUCGGCUUCGCAUUCUCCUCCCUCCUUCACUUGAACGACGCACUGCAUUUGUAAAUGGAUAGUCAGCUGCACAUCAACAACCAGCAAACUUCAUUACAAAUCCAAGGUUCUCGACAAACAAUAAGCCAUGGAUAGAAUAAAACAGAAAGACCGAGUGGCCCUCGAAACGGCUUUCGUUCCCCAAUAACACUACUGCUGGCUGGAGGUGUCCUCACGGAUGAAAGAACUCGGCAGCGGCCUCGAUCAAUCACAGCUUGGCCGGACCAUGGAGAUGCAUUUGGUUGUAGCGCGGGCCAUACAGCCCACGCUACUAGUAGCUUGUCAGAAUGUCAACCUACAUUUUAAUUGGUUACGCCUCUCUUUCUCCACACUUGGAGUGAAGUGAUUAGCAAGAGAAAUGAC